CCAAUGGCAUUGCCCGGUAGCUAAGUGCGGAAAAGAUAAGCGCUGAAAGCAUCUAAGCGCGAAACUUGCCUCAAGAUGAGUCUUCCCUGGGCCUUCAAGGCCCCUGAAGGAACGUUUAAGACUAAGACGUUGAUAGGCUGGGUGUGUAAGUGCAGCGAUGCAUUGAGCUAACCAGUACUAAUGAUCCGUGAGGCUUAACCUUACAACACCGAAGGUGUUU
rnacentral:rRNA from 2 species